CAACUCCAAAAGGCUGGGCGAAUAUCCACAAAUGGGUUCAGCAUAUAACUGGGGAGAUUUCUGGUGGUUAGUUAAAAGCCAGCAUUCUUCAGGAACUUGUGAAACUGGUUCCCUGAUGGGGAAUGUCCUUCUGAGUAUAUGUUUAUCUUAUUGGUUGUUGAAUAAAGUACUGUUGGCCAAUGAAGAAGCAGGUUAGGUGGGACUAGGGUCAAGCAGGUUUCUGGGAAAUGUAGUAAAAGGAAGUCUUGUGAUACAGGCAGGAAGUGACAUAGCAGGCAGACUCAUAUAUAAGAAAGGGCAAGAAGGAAGUCGUUCUUUUUCUCUCUUCCUCCUGCUCUCUGCUCUGCAGUCACCACGUUUCUUCCAGACAGGCCUGUGCACACUCCCUCUCCCUACCCUUUACUAAUAAAACUCUUUUUGUUUUGUUUUUUUUUUCGAGACAGGGCUUCUCUGUGGCUUUGGAGGCUGUCCUGGACUAGCUCUUGUAGACCAGGCUGGUCUCAAACUCACAGAGAUCCUCUGCCUCUGCCUCCCGAGUACUGGGGUUAAAGGUGUGUGCCACCCUGCCCCACCCCCCCUCCCGCCACUAAUAAAACUCUUCAGUGGGUUUUGUUGUGUAUCUUGUGGUCUGUUCUCGAGCACCGUACAUAGCAACUUGCUAUCCCCUUUGAUGUUUCCCAUCCCAGUUCACAGGACCCUCUUCCCCCAGAUAGCCAUUCUCUUUAUAAUUCUCGAAAAUAUCCUCCCUCUCACCUUUCUCUGCUUUCUCCGAGAGACAGCCUUGGCUAUUUGGAAUACACUUUUUCUUUUCUACCCACAGGGCAGCCAGUUUGGUCUCUAUCACGUAGAUGCUGGGGAUCAAACUCAGCUGUUAGGCUUGGUGACGAGCAAACACCUUUGCCCACUCUGAAGCUGGUCUUGAACUUCUGGACUCAAAGAGAUCAUCCUACCUCAGCUUUGCUGUCAGGUUUCUGCUUCUGGAAGACACAUCUGAGUAUCAGUUGCUGACCACAGGCUGUUCCUAAGUAGAUUUCGAACCCUGGACUUGCUGUGGAUGUAAACCAGUCCAGCUGAUAUGGACACCCCCUGUCUCUGCAACAGAAUCUGCCAACCAGAAGCUCCUGAUGGAUUCCCCAUUGCCUAAAUUCCUUUUUUUGCUUUUGACUAACCUUUCAACCUUCUUGGGUCCCUAACUUCGUCCCAGGUCAGCAGGAAGUAGCAUGGGAAAGAAUAUGUCGUCCAUUUUCCCUGGUUAAAAUGCUAAGUCAGAAGGAACUCCCUUGCAUGGGGAUGCCAAUAUCUCUCACUUCCUGAUGAGGAUGAGGGAGAGACAGCAAUUCCAUGAUUGGAAUUUCCAAAAAAGAAAAUGGGGGAAUGAAGGGACCAGCUCCCCAUUUCAGCAGCCAUAACAGCUGGACACGUGCUUUUCUGACCUUGCCUUGGUCACUAGAAGUUAGGUGCCUGCCUCGUGGCAAGGAACCAAUCAGAAGUUAGCUGGUGGUGCUAUGAUUUACGGCUCUGGGUGUGCUUUAUGGACAAGCGCACAGCAAUGACGCACAGAGCAUAGCAGCCACCCUGGGAGGGCCUAUGGGCCAUAACAACCAGUUGACCAAUCAACACAGGGCAAGCCCUCCAAGCCUGGAGGCACACCAAUCGUGAGGCUGUGCGUACCCCUAGACACUCCCCUUACGCUGCCCUAUAAGAUCUCUAUACAGCCAGUUCGAGCUGUCUUUGCUAGCCAUCUGCUAUGGCGGGUGGGUGAAAGACCAGAGCUAACAUGGGUUUAGCUUGUUAAACAACAAUAAAGCCUCAUGCAGUUUGCAUCAAGCUUUUGACUCAGCCUGGUGAUUGGGGUGGCCGAGGUCCUGGGCUAAGAUCCUGGAAGCCUGAGCUUUCCCGGGGUCUUACAGUGUGUGCUACUUGGCUUGGC
ensembl:lncRNA